UCUUGGUCAUUUAGAGGAAGUAAAAGUCGUAACAAGGUCUCCGUAGGUGAACCUGCGGAGGGAUCAUUACACAACAAAAAUAUGAGGGUGUGGUUUGCUGGCAACAGCGUCCGCCCCAAGUAUUUUUCACCCAUGUCUUUUGCGCACUUUUUGUUUCCUGGGCGAGUUCGCUCGCCACCAGGACCCAACCAUAAACCUUUUUUAUGCAGUUGCAAUCAGCGUCAGUAUAAUAAUUCAAUUUAUUAAAACUUUUCAACAACGGAUCUCUUGGUUCCUGGCAUCGAUGAAGAACGCAGCGAAAUGCGAUACGUAGUGUGAAUUGCAGAAUUCAGUGAAUCAUCGAAUCUUUGAACGCACAUUGCGCCCUUUGGUAUUCCAAAGGGCAUGCCUGCUCGAGCGUCAUUUGUACCCUCAAGCUUUGCUUGGUGUUGGGCGUCUUUUUGUCUCUCCCCUUGUUGGGGGAGACUCGCCUUAAAACGAUUGGCAGCCGACCUACUGGUUUUCGGAGCGCAGCACAAAUUUGCGCCUUCCAAUCCACGGGGCGGCAUCCAGCAAGCCUUUGUUUUCUAUAACAAAUCCACAUUUUGACCUCGGAUCAGGUAGGGAUACCCGCUGAACUUAAGCAUAUCAAUAAGCGGAGGA
rnacentral:rRNA from 1 species